rnacentral:rRNA from 1 species
AGGACGAACGCUGGCGGCGUGCCUAAUGCAUGCAAGUCGCACGCGCUUCCCUCGGGAAGUGAGUGGCGCACGGCUGAGGAACACGUACGAAUCUGCUCCGGCGUGGGGGAUAACGGGCCGAAAGGUCCGCUAAUCCCGCAUACGCUCGCUCGCAAGAGUGAGGAAAGGCGCAAGUCGCGCC